UCAGGCCCAGACUGCUCAGGGUAAGGUGCGUGACUCCACACUGUGGUCUUCCAUCUAGCUCAUACUGGAAAAAACAGCUUGCAUGCGGGCACUUCCGAGUUGACAGUGCGUAGGACGCCCCCUGCGGGUUGGGCGACAAGAGGCGACCGAGUUGACCGACUGAGUAGGCAGAAGAUUGCAGGAGUUGCAGGAAUUCAUUCAGAAAAGUGCUAUGAUGGCUAACCUGCCCUCCAACUUGAUUGGUUUGGAGUCACCAUGGAAACACACUUCUGGAUGUAUCUGGGAGGCCAUUUCCUGAGAAGUUCAUGUAGCAGCUGGCCCCUCUCCCGUCACCUGCCUUGGCAGCCACUGUAGCCUGAAGAAGCCCUUCCUGCCUGAAGUUGCUUUUGUGAGGUUCUUUGUCACGGGAAUAAAGACAUGAACUGAGGUAGGAAUCCAGAGCUUCUGGAAACCCACAUCAGAGGUUUUCAUCCCAAUUCUCCUACCUCUAAAUUGUCAGAUGUCUACCAGAGACACAUACUGUCUCAAUAAUUCCUCACUUUAACUUCUUGGAAAGUCCUAUUCUUCUUCAGGGAGGUAAUUUACCAAGCUAAAGUGUAGCAGAUGCAGCUGCUGGGGAGAUGCAGCAGGAAAGUCCUGGGAAGCCUGGCACUCUUGCUGAGGACCUCCUCCUCUCUCUCUAGUUUCCUUCUUGCUGGGAGCUGGGGGUGAAAUAGGAAUUGUAGACCAAGAGCAACACUUCACAGAAAAAAGGGACACCGGUUGUGGUGGUGCAUGCCGGUAGGAUUUGCUGAGGAAGGCAGAAAAAAAGGGACUUUGCCCGCCCUGAUAUGCUAUGUUCAGGCUUCUCCUUACAGGGGAAAAUAAAAAUUCCUUCCUCGUUUAACUCACAGUCAGGAUAGUUCCGUAGCAGCAGAUACACUGUUCUUUCAGAAGACAAGGCUAAAAAUUAUUCUAGGCACCUUACCUAAAAGGGUGUCAUCCCAGGGAGAGACGUUUUUCUCCCCAAGCAUAAGAAAUGAUAGGUUCACCGGGCGGUGAUGGCGCACGCCUUUAAUCCCACCACUUGGGAGGCAGAGGCAGGU